GGAGGAAUGUAUAGCGAAAGCUAGUUGCAUUAAAUUCGAUUAAUUCGAAGUUAAUGCAUCAUCGACUAUGUCGAAUAAAGUUCUAGGUAGAGUUAUGAUAAUGACAUUUUCUAUCUAUGUGUCUUGACCAAAUCACGUGCCAGCAGUCGCGGUAAUACGUGGAAGACUAGUGUUAUUCAUCUUUAAUAGGUUUAAAGGGUACUUAGACGGUAAAUUUAGCCCAAAUAAAAACAAAGGGUACUAAUUAUACUAGAGUUUUAUAAGAGGGGGGUGUGUACUAGUGAGUGUAGAGAUGAAAUUCUGUCAUACCAUUAUGACAGGCAACGGCGAAAGCAACCUUUAUAAAAAAACUGACGUUAAAGGACGAAGGCUUUGUGUCACCAACAGGAUUAGAUACCCAAGCAGUCUUAGCAGACAAUUCUGAAUGCCAUAGAUAAGAAAUCCAUAGAUAUGGAAGAUAACAUCUUCUUUUCUUUUUCUUUUUUGAUUGCCCUAAAAUGAAAGAGUCUAGAUAUAAAUAUUAUUAUUUUAAUCUAGAAUUUAUUUUUUUUGUCUAUAAAUGAAAGUGUAAGCAUUCCACCUCAAGAGUAAUGUGGCAACGCAGAAACUGAAAUCAUUAGACCGUUUCUGAAACCAGUAGUGAAGUAUGUUGUUUAAUUAGAUGGUCCUCCAAAAACCUUACCACAAUUUGUAUAUUAUUAGCUUAAUACAAGAGUUGCACGGCUGUCUUCAGUUAAUGUCGUGAGAUUUUGGUUAGUUCCAUUAAAUUAACGUAAACCCUUACUUUAUUUUAUAUUAUAAAGUAGCUCACCGCUAUAUUGGAUAUGAUAAGA
rnacentral:rRNA from 1 species